CAGGACCACUGCCCACGUAUCGACGAGGACACGAAAGGUUCAGUAGACUUUUUGCUUUAAAUGGAUGGUUGUUGUCAUGGUGUAAAGAACAGAAACUGCUAUUUGUUAUAACUGGAACUUUUCUGGGAGCAUCCUAGGCUGUUUUGCGCUGAUGGAUUACACCCCAGCAGAAUCCGAGCGGAGCUGCUUUCCGACAACAUCUCCAGGACACUUCGCUCCAUGUGACUACAUGGAAUUCACCGCUCACUUCAGCCCACCGGCCACUCCAGUGUCCUAGUCCGGCAACCAUGCCUUUCACCCCAAACUUAGAGGGGAACCAAAGGAGGAGAAGGUGGUUGGUGCUAUACCCUAGGCUUACUCCAGUGUCAGCUUUAGCCCCUUAGCUUGCUCCAGUGGUGGCUCCAGCUCCUGAGUUUGCCCAAGUACCAGCUCUUCAAAAGCGACUUGCUGUGCCUGGUCCUCCAGAGCACCCUCCAGUGCCAGCUCCCCCCGAUAAUCAAUGCAGGAGCAGAGCGAUCCAUCUUUCUUCUCCAAGACGAAAAACCCCACCCCAGCCGGAGAGGAAGAGGGAAGUAUAAACUGGCUACUAGAGACUCAUUUAUGUAUUUCUCCAUGGCCUCCCUCUCAGGACCGGAGAGCGAAUAAAGGCACCCCUUAGGUUGAGAAGUGCCAGGUAAUCUAUCACACAAUCAUGCGGCUGUGCGGAGGAAGGGAUGAAGCUCAGGACUUACUGAACACCGCUCUCAAGUCAUGAUGGUAAGACUGAGAGAGGAGGAGGAGUUGUGAAAUCGAAUGGAAAGG